rnacentral:rRNA from 1 species
GGGUUGUGAGGUUAAGCGACUAAGCGUACACGGUGGAUGCCCUGGCAGUCAGAGGCGAUGAAGGACGUGCUAAUCUGCGAUAAGCGUCGGUAAGGUGAUAUGAACCGUUAUAACCGGCGAUUUCCGAAUGGGGAAACCCAGUGUGAUUCGUCACACUAUCAUUAACUGAAUCCAUAGGUUAAUGAGGCGAACCGGGGGAACUGAAACAUCUAAGUACCCCGAGGAAAAGAAAUCAACCGAGAUUCCCCCAGUAGCGGCGAGCGAACGGGGAGCAGCCCAGAGCCUGAAUCAGUGUGUGUGUUAGUGGAAGCGUCUGGAAAGGCGUGCGAUACAGGGUGACAGCCCCGUACACAAAAAUGCACAUACUGUGAGCUCGAUGAGUAGGGCGGGACACGUGGUAUCCUGUCUGAAUAUGGGGGGACCAUCCUCCAAGGCUAAAUACUCCUGACUGACCGAUAGUGAACCAGUACCGUGAGGGAAAGGCGAAAAGAACCCCGGCGAGGGGAGUGAAAAAGAACCUGAAACCGUGUACGUACAAGCAGUGGGAGCACGCUUAGGCGUGUGACUGCGUACCUUUUGUAUAAUGGGUCAGCGACUUAUAUUCUGUAGCAAGGUUAACCGAAUAGGGGAGCCGAAGGGAAACCGAGUCUUAACUGGGCGUUAAGUUGCAGGGUAUAGACCCGAAACCCGGUGAUCUAGCCAUGGGCAGGUUGAAGGUUGGGUAACACUAACUGGAGGACCGAACCGACUAAUGUUGAAAAAUUAGCGGAUGACUUGUGGCUGGGGGUGAAAGGCCAAUCAAACCGGGAGAUAGCUGGUUCUCCCCGAAAGCUAUUUAGGUAGCGCCUCGUGAAUUCAUCUCCGGGGGUAGAGCACUGUUUCGGCAAGGGGGUCAUCCCGACUUACCAACCCGAUGCAAACUGCGAAUACCGGAGAAUGUUAUCACGGGAGACACACGGCGGGUGCUAACGUCCGUCGUGAAGAGGGAAACAACCCAGACCGCCAGCUAAGGUCCCAAAGUCAUGGUUAAGUGGGAAACGAUGUGGGAAGGCCCAGACAGCCAGGAUGUUGGCUUAGAAGCAGCCAUCAUUUAAAGAAAGCGUAAUAGCUCACUGGUCGAGUCGGCCUGCGCGGAAGAUGUAACGGGGCUAAACCAUGCACCGAAGCUGCGGCAGCGACGCUUAUGCGUUGUUGGGUAGGGGAGCGUUCUGU